AUGGCAACAUGGAAGGAUUCCUGUGUUACCAUUGAUUUCAAAUCUCUCAUAAAAAGACAUUAUAUGUCUAAGAACGAUGACAAUCAGCAUCUUACUAUUGGCAGUGCAAUUAAAAAUAUGGAUAGAAUGUCAUCUGAGCUGAAUAAACUUAUUGGCAAUCUUCAGAGUGAAAGGAAUUGGGACAGGAAUCCCAUUUCUGACUGUUGCACUGGAGAUUGCUCACAGAAGUGGAAACAUCAGUCAGCUGCAUUACAGUUGAUAGGGGAACAGACCCCUGUUGCUGCAAAGCCUGCAGCUUGUAAAAUCCCAAAUGCUGCUUUGUGACCUUAUAUUGAACUUCAGUCAACCAGUGCAAGGAGAUGUUUCAAAAGAAACGGAAGAAAAGAACCAGGAAGAGUUGAAAAUAAAAGACUCUACUUUCGUUUAUGAUCCU